UAAAUAAAGUAAAAAAAAAAAGUUAUGUAUCUUUUCAGAACCAAUGACAGUGCUCCUGGAUAGCAAUGUUUCUUUCAGCUGAAAUUCAACAUCAGGAGUCAAUAUGCCUUGUUGUCUUUGAAAGGACACAUGAUUAAUGAGAGACCCAAUUAUGCUGACGUAGGUGGACACGUAUGCAAUAUACGAACAAUCACAACAAAGACCAAUGGGCACAACAGAAAAAAACAAACAACAUGCUUGGAACAGGCUUGGAAAAGAACACAGGAUUUGAAGUCAGAAGAUCCAUGCUCAGGCUUCAUUCUGCCAAUUCCAAGAUGUGUGACCAGAGGCCAGCACUUAACUCCCCCAAGCCUGUUUCCAAAUGUGAAAACUUGUCAUGGAAAACUCAUUGUCUGACUAUACCAGAGUGAGGACAUUCUGUAGAUGCUACUUACUACGUAAUGCGUGGAAGAUACAAGACAAUUAUCGGUGUAAGGUGCUGUGCAAAAAUAGUUGAAUUAAAGCACACAGCUCAGCAGCCUUUCCCCACAGACCUGCAGACAGAGAUCCCAUCCUCUCCGCUAGGGUCCAAACAAGAAAUGUAUGCUUGUUUUCAACUCGUCUCUCUAAAUCCCCACAGGAAGCCCCACCAUUAUACCCUCUCAAUUCCACUCCUAUGUGGUUCCUCCUAUUAUGACACCCACUUUCCUGCCCGGGGUGUGAUCAUCAACGUCUGCAACCUGGACCCUCGCAGCGCAUAUCCUUCUGAUCCAGCCCUCCCCAAGAUGGAAUGCGUGCAGACAUCGCUUGGGGUCUGGUUAAAAUGCAGGUUCUCAUUCACCGGCAGUGCAGGGUAUAUCCCGAGAGGGGCCAGCGCUGUUGGUCCAUGGACCAUAUGUACAGGAGGAGGGCUCCAGUCAGUCUCCUUGAAUCCAGCCUUGUACAUGCCUACCACCCAGUCUCCACACUGACCCCAGAGAAAUCUUUUCAAGGCAUAAAUACGAUUAUGUCACUGCCAUGCUUAAAAAGUCUGAGUAGGCAGAUUCAACGUCAGGAUUCUCAACACUGGCUGCAGAUUUCAAUCACCUGGAAAGUUUUAAAAAAGCCCAGAGCUCAGGCCCCAGUACAGACCAACUAAAUAAAGCUAUUCAGAGGUACCAGGCAAAGGUAUUUUUAAAAUAGCUCCCCAGGUGGGUCUAACCAUGGCUCCAAGGAUUCUUCCAACACAAAAACUUCCAACUUACCCCAUCAUUUAACCAUCAUGAUAAGCCCAGAUAGAUUCCUUAUUCCCAGGUAAAGAAGCCGUGGCCCCAGUGGGUUAAGUGCCUUGAAGUUGGGCCCUAAGUGCUCCAUCAUAUGACGAGGUAGAAGGAAAGGAGAAAGCGUGACCUGCAGGAGUCCCAGUUCCAUCAUCGCAUGAAUAUAUUUGCAAUUGCUUUCAGCAUCUCUUCUAAUUAUUCCCCAAGCCACCGUGGCCUUUGAUGAAUUGUGGAAGAGAUUGCUUGGCAUUUUCAACCCAAUGCUCUGAUGCUUGAACACGGCAGUGGAUGGAAAGUGACAGCAUGUUAGCAGUCACUGCAUUCCCUCUGCUGUCAUAGCUCACUCCCCUCUGCCCACAGCGUGGGCUGGGCUUCCCAUCUCACAGAGCGGGGAAAAAUGCUUCCAAAAGUUGAUGCGACAUCUCAAAAUGUCAGACUGCCAGUUGCCACUGUCAGCUUCUAUGGCCCAUGGUAUCUAUCAGAUGGAAACAAUUAAGUCCCCAGAGCAUGGGAUCUCCCUCGGAGCUCAGGUGGACAGCAAAAAAAAUGCAUAUGAGUGAGGAGUGUUGUAGCAUGUAUACUGGGCUGGCACCUGGCAUCAGGACCUCACUUCCCAUGCAUGUGAUCUGUUUAAUACUAAAUGCAGUUCCAAGAAUUCUGCACUGGGUCCUCACUUUACAGAUGAGAAAACCGAAGGCUCAGAGCAAUGAUGUGGUUUGCCCAAGGACACACAGAUGGGAGAGGCAGGGCCAGAAUCAGCCUGCAGUCUGAUGCCAAACCUGCAGUUUCUGGUACCCAGAACAGUGUGCGGCACAGAGAAGAUGCAUAAUCAACACGUGAUGAAUGAAUGAGUGAAUGAGUGACUCAAUGAGUGAAUGAAUGUCUCAUGACAUGCUGCCUUGAAGACAGCCUCCACCAGUCAUUAGUUACAGCACCUUGGGUAGGUAACUUCACCUUGCCUAGCAAGGAUGAAAUACGUGUUUUUAUCAUCGGUGUUGGAAUGGGGGAUAAAAUGGGUUUAAAUUGCUGAUCCUGAGAUCAGGGUAAAGGGAAAUAUCCAGGUUCCAGGGGACAGUGGUCCAAGAGCUCUUCUCUUCUCUGGGCCUCCUGUUCCUUAUCUAUAGAAUAGGAGCGUUGGAUGAGACGGACAUUGAAAUCCUCUGUUUUACAGAUAUCCUAGGAUCCAGUAAAUCUAGUAAUGCUUGUUGAUGUGCAAACAGUAACGGCCUUGAAGGCUUUCUCCCCGUGGCCCUAGUGCACCUUCAUCAGAGAGCCUUUGCUUGCACAAGGCCUGGAUAAAGCAGAAGGAGUUGAGUUGGUGUCUGGCUCCCUCCGUAGCCCUCUGGGCAUCAUCUGCUUCCUGCUCUGGGCAUUAUUUCCCUUCUCUCAUGGUUAAGUUCUCCUUUGCCAGGCCCCCAGCCUGGCAGUUAAGGCCCCAAACUUUCCUUUCAGCAUCAUGUCCCACUGUUCCCCUUCCUGGCCCAGCCCAGGCCACCUGCUCCCCACGUGGUCCUGCAUGUUCCCAUCUCACUGCCUCUGCUUGGACUGCGCCCUCAACCUGGAGUGCUCUGCCCGCUGGUCAAACACCUCCCCUCCACUGAGCUCCCCAAAUCCUCCUUGUUCCUGUAGCACUCUGUCCCACGUUAGACAUCAUUCAUUCAUUCACUUAUACAUUGACUCUCAGUGAGUCUCUUGAGCGCUUGGUCUGUGCCAGCCACUAUGCUAUACACUUUUCCCCUGUCAUCUCAUUUAAUCCUUUCAACACUAUGAACCUGGUAUCGUAAAUAUCUGCAUUUCACAGAUGAGCAAACAGAGGCACAGGGAAACCAAAGUCACCCAGCUCAUGUGUAGCAGAAUCUGUGGAUCAUGUGGUCUCACCACGGAUCCCAAGUUAGCCCCCUUGUCUAGCACCUCUUCUGCCGGAUCCUGGGCUGCCUCAGAACAGGCACUGUCAUUCAGGCACCCAACAUUCAUUCAGCAAGUAUCCACUGAGCACCUCCUGUGUGCCAGACCCCAUGAUGGUCACGGCAGUUCUGAUGGGCUCCAUAUGGCCUCCCGCUCCUGUGGGGUGCCUGGCCCCGGGCUUGGCUUCCUAAAGGAUGCUCUGAGGUUUCUUGCUGAAUGGCAUGGCUGGUAACACUAUGUGAGAAGUAGAGUUCAAAGCUGAUGAUGGCUGCAGAUAUGAGGGUGAUGCACAAGGGCUGUGCUGCCCAUCUGUGGGCUCUGCAGACACUGGAAAGAGGAAGCUGAUGGGGGCAGAUGGGUGUUCAGAGACAGGGAGGCAUGGUCUCAUUGACAGGGCGGGGAAAACCAAGGUGAGGAUGCAGGAAGACGAGCCUCACUGCUCCAGAUUGGCCCAGCGUGGCUCCCUGAGGCCUGAAUCCAGACUGCAAAUCCCGCCUGCCACAGAAGUGGGUUUGAGACUGUGCACAUGGCUGGCCCGAGUCAGCCGCCUGUCACCUCCUCUUAGAGCCCAGCCCUGUUCACAGAGUGAAGACCUGGGAGGCAGACGGUGGAGAGGCGGACAUGGAACCAGGCUCCCUUCACCAAGCCUGGUUUCGUUUGUGCAUCAGAGAAAGGAGUUACUGCCUGGCUGUUGUAUCUUGCAGGCAGGAAGGCCACAUGCUGUUACUGAUGGGUAAGCAGAGCACCGAGAGGACCCCAAGCAAGGAAGGACGGGCCCGCUGUGCUUAAGGAAAGCUUCCCAGAGAAGGAGUCUCUGGACUUUGGCUUAAGAGAGUCAAGCAUUCUGAAAGCCUCCCCAAGACAGACUCUGAGAGGAGUGUGGGUCUCCUCGAAUCCCUGCGGCUCCAUCAGGAUGCAAAGGGAGACCCAGGAGAUUGCGCAGCUCUUUGGGAUGAAAAAGAGAAACGGAGAGAGACCGACAGACAAAGAGACAGAGGAAGGCAGAGAGACUGAUCGACUUAAUUGCACCUUGGAAUUGUUGUAAGAGAGCACAGGACCUGGAACUAAAGUGGGGUGGGGAAACUAAGGCUCACAGAGAUCAAGUGUCCGUAGGCUGCACAGCUGGUAGGCUGCAGCUGACACCAGAUUCCUAGACCCCUGGCUCUUGGUGCCAUGAUGCAUGUCCUCCAGCUCCCUCUCCUUUCAAGGACCCCAGGACAGAGUGUGAUGCCACCAAAGGGAAGUGGCCCUCAGGGAGCAAACUCCAAUAAACUACCUUCGGAAAGUGCAUGCUGGCGACUGGGAGAGAGGCCACCACACCUCAGGAGGACAUGCUGACACUGAGCUUCCUCUGGCAGUGACAGAACCAGCCAGACACUCCUGAGAGAGGAAGUUGAUCUCAUCUAAUUAAAGAUUCCCUUCUGAGGACUGGCUUCCUGUUUCAGGCCAAGCCUGCAAUUUCAGAAACUUGACCCUUUCUUGAUACAUGCAACUCUUUCCAUUAUCCUUCAUAAUCCUAGCUGAGGUGUGCCACGUACAAACACUAAGGUGUGCAGGGUGGAAGAAGAACAUGGGAACUCGAGUCUCAGACUUGAGAUCAAAUCUGCUACUUCCUAGCUGUGUGACUGCAGGCAAGUUAUUUAACCUUCCUGAGCCUCAGUUUCCUUACCUCUACCAUGAAGAUAAUAAGUCUACCUAUUUCAGAUAUUGCUACAGAUUGAAUUGUGUCAUCCACCCUGCACCCUGUACCCUGCCACAAAUUCAUAUGUUGAAGCCCUAACCUCUAAUGUGGUGGUAUUUGGAGUUGAGGCCUUUGGGAGGUAAUUACGAUUAAAUGAGGUCAUGUGGGUGGGGCCCUCGUGAUGGGAUUCGUGCCCUUAUAAGAAGAAACACCAGAGAUAUCUCUCUUUUAUUCUCUCUCUUUAUCUCUCUCUCUCUCUCUCCCUCCCUACGCCAUGUGAGCACACAGUGAGAAGGAGGCUGUCUGCAAGCCAAGAAAAGAGCCUGCAACAGAACUUGAUUUUGCUGCCAUCUAAUCUCAGAAUUCCAGCCUCCAGAACUAUGAGAAAAUAAAUAU